rnacentral:lncRNA from 1 species
AAAAUUCUUAAUUUUUUUCUUCUUCAGAUGUGGUGUAGUACAUUUCUUAAGUCUGUCCUUUUUUGUGGAUGAUUUCUUUAUUUCUUUUUCUUUCUUUCUUUCCUUUUUUUUUUUUUAAGAUAGGGUCUGGCUUUGUUGCCCAGACUGGGAUGAGGUAGCACAAUCUCAGCUCACUGCAAUCUCCAUCUUCCAGGCACAAGCUAUCCUCCCACCUCAGCCUCCGUAGUAGCUGAGACCACAGGCACACACCACUACACCCAAAGUGCUGGUAUUACAAGUUUGAGCCACAGUGCAUGGCCAUUUUUGGAUGAUUUGUAACAGAGUUUCAGGGCAUAGCGUUGAGAAUGCUGAUUGGGAAAAGAAAUAGAGAAAAUCUUUUAUUACAGCUUGAGAAAAUGAAUAAUCUUCCACAAUAAAGUAUAGUAGAUAAAUUGGUGAAUUACAAAGAUUCAGCAAAAUACCAGUCCUCCUUUGCAGGUUGGGGAACUUGUAAUGGUGGAUAACUCUUCUUCUUCCUGUUAUCUGUGGGGUAAGACCUGGCUGGCAACUGUUGUCAUAUGUUUGUGUUCACAUAUGAUUAAUGUGUAGUAUGUGCUUUGUUAUCAUGGAAAUAAUAAUGAAAUAAUAUUGUGCACCUUAAUAAGAUAAUAAGAUUCAGAGAAUAUGAUU